rnacentral:tRNA from 1 species
GAGGCUCUAGCUUAAUUAAAGCUUCUGAGUUGCAUUCAGAGGAUGUAGGGUAAUGUCCUGCGAGCUUUA